rnacentral:rRNA from 1 species
AUUGAACGCUGGCGGCAGGCCUAACACAUGCAAGUCGAGCGGAUGAAGGGAGCUUGCUCCUGGAUUCAGCGGCGGACGGGUGAGUAAUGCCUAGGAAUCUGCCUGGUAGUGGGGGAUAACGUCCGGAAACGGGCGCUAAUACCGCAUACGUCCUGAGGGAGAAAGUGGGGGAUCUUCGGACCUCACGCUAUCAGAUGAGCCUAGGUCGGAUUAGCUAGUUGGUGGGGUAAAGGCCUACCAAGGCGCCGAUCCGUAACUGGUCUGAGAGGAUGAUCAGUCACACUGGAACUGAGACACGGUCCAGACUCCUACGGGAGGCAGCAGUGGGGAAUAUUGGACAAUGGGCGAAAGCCUGAUCCAGCCAUGCCGCGUGUGUGAAGAAGGUCUUCGGAUUGUAAAGCACUUUAAGUUGGGAGGAAGGGCAGUAAGUUAAUACCUUGCUGUUUUGACGUUACCAACAGAAUAAGCACCGGCUAACUUCGU